ACGAACGCUGGCGGCGUGCUUAACACAUGCCAGUCGAACGGUGAAGCGAGUGCUUGCACUCGUGGAUCAGUGGCGAACGGGUGAGUAACACGUGAGUAACCUGCCCAUCACUCUGGGAUAAGCACUGGAAACGGUGUCUAAUACUGGAUACGACCAACCCUUGCAUGGGGUGUUGGUGGAAAGAUUUAUCGGUGAUGGAUGGACUCGCGGCCUAUCAGCUUGUUGGCGGGGUAAUGGCCCACCAAGGCGACGACGGGUAGCCGGCCUGAGAGGGUGACCGGCCACACUGGGACUGAGACACGGCCCAGACUCCUACGGGAGGCAGCAGUGGGGAAUAUUGCACAAUGGGCGAAAGCCUGAUGCAGCGACGCCGCGUGAGGGAUGACGGCCUUCGGGUGGUAAACCUCUUUCAGCAGGGAAGAAGCGAAAGUGACGGUACCUGCAGAAGAAGCACCGGCUAACUACGU
rnacentral:rRNA from 1 species